UGAAACCGUUCAGGGGUAAACCUGAGAAACCCGAAAGAUCGAAUGGGGAGAUUCAUCGUCAGCGAUACUGGUACGUGUGCGGUUCGCGAUGCCGGAGACUUCGGUCUCGUGGCACGCGUCCGUAUGUUUUUAUUGCCUGGUGUCGUCGGCGUGCACUUCUCCCCUAGUAGGACGUCGCGACCCGUUGGGUGUCGGUCUACGGCCCGGGUGGGUGCCUGUCUCGUGUGUGCUUCACGGCAUCACUGCGGGGCAGACCCCCGGCUGCCCGACCGUCUGCCCGGCGGUACUCGCAAGGUAUCUGGCCGCAAAUAUUCGAACUGCGUCCGGCCCGUCGCAAGCGAGGCAAGUGCUUCCCGAAUGCACGGAUCUAAUGCCGUCAUCGGGCCUUGCCAGCUGUUGGUUGACGGUGUCCUGGGACUGGCUAAAGUUAUUAUGAUACCGGUCAGCGACGCUACUGCUUUGGGUACUUUCAGGACCCGUCUUGAAACACGGACCAAGGAGUCUAACAUGUGCGCGAGUCAUUGGGAGUUAUUAAGCCUAAAGGCGCAAUGAAAGUGAAGGUCGGCCUCGCGCCGACCGAGGGAGGAUGGACCGCGUCACGAUGCGGUCCCGCACUCCCGGGGCGUCUCGUUCUCAUUGCGAGAAGAGGCGCACCCAGAGCGUACACGUU
rnacentral:rRNA from 1 species